UGGACGCCAUCGUUUGGUUUGUUUGGCUUCCAAUUUGCUAUCUCUAUCGGUCUCCCCCCCUCCCUUCGAACAAUUGUAAGGAUUGGGGUUAGGGUUUCUACAACUCCCAUGGAUGCAUCCGGCUCUUCAUCGACCAUAUCAGUCCAUUCGACAUUCCGCUACUGUUAUUGCAAUUGCUUCAGACGCUAUUGUCGCUGCUUCUGUUGUUGCUAUUGCUGUUCGUGAAUUUAGCUGAUAUUUUUCGGGAAAAAGGAUUGAUUGUUUUGUACUGUAGGACCGUAGGGGCUUUUGUUGUUCUGUCUCAUUCGCGAUUCUGUCAUGGAUCUAUCGAACGGGCAUUCGAGUCUUUCGUUAGGAUUUUCUUCGCAUGCCUCACCGGCUCCUCGAACGUCAAUUGUCGAUGAUUCUAUCUCGUUACAAAUCGACCCGAGCUUCCGUGGGCACUCUCAUUCGGGUCCGUCGAUUCCAUUGCAGUUGCUUGAGCAACAGCCAGAGGGGCGAAGGGAUGAGAGCUCAGUGAAUGGGGAGAGAGAGGAGGAAGAACAAGGGGAGGAAGAGGAGGAGGAAUUCAGUCUUUUGGGUCAUCCGAUGUGUUUGAAGAGACGAAGGGAUGGAGAAUCGUCGUCUUGUUCGUCUUCUUCUAAUCCUUUGAAGAGGGUUUCUUUCGAACCGGGGCUUGAAACGAGGAGGACUGCGGUACGGGCUUGGGGGAACCAACCACUAUGCGUUGCUGAUCCUGAUGUUUAUGAGAUUAUGGAGAAGGAGAAACAGAGGCAGUUCAAAGGAAUUGAGCUGAUUGCUUCCGAGAAUUUUGUCUGUCGAGCAGUGUUGGAAGCUCUGGGAAGCCAUUUGACGAACAAGUAUUCGGAAGGAAUGCCGGGUGCAAGAUAUUAUGGUGGUAAUCAGUUCAUCGAUCAAAUCGAGACACUUUGUUGUGGUCGUGCUUUGUCAGCUUUCAAUCUUGAUCCUGAGAAGUGGGGAGUUAAUGUUCAGCCAUACUCUUGUACAUCAGCUAACUUUGCAGUUUAUACAGGCCUUCUCCUCCCUAAGGAUCGGAUCAUGGGGUUGGAUUCCCCAUCAGGAGGACACUUGAGCCAUGGCUACUAUACGUCUAGUGGAAAGAAGGUUUCUGGUGCAUCUAUCUUCUUUGAGAGUCUCCCUUAUAAGGUGAAUCCACUCACAGGUUACAUUGAUUAUGAUAAGCUCGAGGAGAGAGCAAUUGAUUUCCGCCCUAGAAUACUUAUUUGUGGAGGUAGCUCAUACCCCCGAGAGUGGGAUUAUGCAAGGUUCAGACAGAUUGCAGAUAAAUGUGGAGCAAUACUGAUGUGUGAUAUGGCUCAUAUCAGUGGUCUCAUCGCUGCCAAGGAAUGUAUUAGCCCUUUUGAUUACUGUGAUAUUGUUACCUCCACAACCCACAAAAGUCUUCGUGGACCUAGAGGAGGUAUAAUUUUUUACAGAAAAGGUAAAAAGCCAAGGAAGCGCGGGAUGCUUUUGAUCCAAGGAGAUGAAAAUGACUAUUAUGAUUAUGAAGAUAAGAUAAACUUUGCUGUUUUUCCAUCAAUGCAAGGGGGACCUCACAAUAAUCACAUUGCUGCUCUUGCAAUAGCCCUAAAACAAGUGGCUACUCCUGAGUACAAAAUGUAUAUCCAACAGGUGAAGAGAAAUGCUCAAGCAUUAGCAUCUGCAUUACUCCGAAGAAAAUGCAGAUUGGUCACUGGUGGUACAGACAACCAUUUGUUACUUUGGGAUCUAAGAAGUCUUGGUUUAACAGGAAAGUACUAUGAGAAAGUGUGUGAGAUGUGCCACAUUACUCUCAAUACCAGUGCUAUAUUUGGUGACAAUGGCACUAUUUCUCCCGGAGGGGUGAGGAUUGGUACUCCUGCUAUGACAUCAAGAGGUUGUGUGGAGUCUGAUUUUGAGACGAUAGCCGACUUCCUCCUUAGGGCAGCUCAGAUUGCCAUUGCUGUGCAGAGGGAUCAUGGGAAAAUGCAGAAGGAUCUUUUCAAGGGUCUCCAGAACAACAAGGACAUUCUUGAACUUAGUGCCCGUGUUGAAUCUUUUGCAGCCCAGUUUGCAAUGCCUGGAUUUGACGUUUGAGCAUGAUUGAGAGACAACCUAUGAAUUCAUCCUACUUUCUUGUCUGACAAAGGUUUCACAUGGUGAUGGUGCAUCCAAUACUUUUCCUACAUUGCCUAUAAAUUGCAGAUCACCCACUAUUGUGAUUCCACGUCAUCCUGAUAUUUAGAGCAUCCAUUUUUUUCAUCACUGGUUUUACAUGUAAAUGAAAGAGGUAACCCACGCUUGAUGUUUCUUGGGCAGUCUUUUUCAGGUUUAUGUUUGAUGACAAGACUUUGAGCCCCCCUGAUGCGUACUACUGUCAUAAUGGUGUCUUCAUGCCUUUUAGAUCAUGAGAACUGUUCGUCCAUGUAACAUGUUCUGGACUGAAUGCCGUGCAGGUUCUAAAAUGUUCCAUAUACUUCUUUUCGGGUACAUGUUUCGUGGGCCUUCAUCUGAUGAUCCCAACUGGAGAAGGAAAAGAAGUGAAUUGUAAAUUUGAAGCCAUUGGCUAUAUUAGCCUUUUUCUUUUCUUCCCUUUCUGAGUGGUCCUAUUGUGGAAACUAUUAAUGCAACAAGUGUUUAUUUUUUCGAAUAGUGGUUGGUUUAUAGAUUAUCCAAAGCCAUGAUUUGGUUGGCAACUAUCUAUUGUGGUUUGUAAGCAUUUUUGUUAGAAAUGAUUUUUCUUUUUUCGUAA